UUGGAGUUCUGGGAUCCGGAGUAGGUGACCCCAGCAAGUGACUUUGGAUGACCUCUGUGCCCUUCCCCAGUUAUGCUGACAUUAGGCCUGAAACAACCUGUGUGCAACCCCCCCCCCCCCCAAUUGAGGUGCAUCUGCUCACAGGAUGUGCUCUUGCACAGGCCAGCUGGCCAUUCAGCCCCAAGUCUGUGAAUCGGAAGGCGAUGACGGAGGCAGUCCCUGGGUUAAGAACAUCCGACUUGCAACAACUUGUACUUCCAAACGGAUGAUGACCAUAAAGUCAUGUUAAAUUCGGGUUAAAUGCAGCUUUGUGAUAACUAACGCAUGGAGUACUUUGAUGCUCAUGAAAACAUUGCAUGAUUUCAGUGGUUUGUCAACUUGAAGUGUGUGUGUGUGUGUGUGUGUGUGU